UAGGGAAUCUUCCGCAAUGGACGCAAGUCUGACGGAGCAACGCCGCGUGAGUGAAGAAGGAUUUCGGUUCGUAAAACUCUGUUGUUAGAGAAGAACAGCGCAUAGAGUAACUGUUAUGCGUGUGACGGUAUCUAACCAGAAAGCCACGGCUAACUACGUGCCAGCAGCCGCGGUAAUACGUAGGUGGCAAGCGUUGUCCGGAUUUAUUGGGCGUAAAGCGAGCGCAGGCGGUCAAUUAAGUCUGAUGUGAAAGCCCCCGGCUCAACCGGGGAGGGUCAUUGGAAACUGGUUGACUUGAGUGCAGAAGAGGAGAGUGGAAUUCCAUGUGUAGCGGUGAAAUGCGUAGAUAUAUGGAGUAACACCAGUGGCGAAGGCGACUCUCUGGUCUGUAACUGACGCUGAGGCUCGAAAGCGUGGGUAGCAAACAGG
rnacentral:rRNA from 1 species